AGUAACAAAAUGCACAUACAGACGUGGGGAUUGUCAAUAACACCGCUAAAGAUUAUUGCAAUGUUACAAAUAUACAUCACAACAAUGUAAUACUGAUAUAUAAACAGUUCUAGAUCAUGAGCCUUUCUAAAAGAGUAUUAUUUUAAAAACUCAUUUGCUGAAAAAAAAAAAAAAAUCUUUAUUUAGAAUCAAUCAAUUGAUGUCAUAUUGUCUGUAAAUAGAUAAUGGGAAAGCAAUUAUAUUAGAUAAGGGGUGAGGGACCUACACGGCGAGUAGAGCCAAGUAUUUGUGACCAAACAAAACUAUUAUUGCAGUCUUGCAGUCUCUUGUCAAUUACGACGACAGAAGUGUCAUUCGAUGCAAGAUCCCUGAGGGCAUAAUUUUGCAUCAAGAUCCCGAAAAUUAAGGCAUUCCGUUAUGUGCAAUCAAUUGUAUACCAUGGAACAAAACAAAUAAGUAAAGCGCGAGAUUGCGACGUUCUGUGAUAUCGGUGAUAGGUUUUGGGUUAAACUAUCAAUCUUUCAUCACAUCUAUUUUUUAUCCUAAACAGUAUAAAUUACUUAAAGUUAACAGUCUUUAAUGAAAAAAUUUAUUCUUCAUUAAUAUUGUUUUCUUGUCAAUUAAAUACAAUGGUUUUUUAUAAAAUACAUUUUUCAUUACUUACUAUUUUAAUUCAAACAAUAUUUAUC